GCUUCUUCUAUUAGUUGCUUGACAACCGCUCUGAACAUCUCACCUUCUUCACUGCAAGUUAAAGACAUGCUUCUGGUGGAGAUAUCUAAUGAUGAGCUUAAUAUUGGUAGCAUAACUGAUUAACUUUACUGGUGCUCAUGUUUGCUAAUUCUUAAGCUACACCAUCCUUUUGAAAAUCAUCACACUUUGUCUCAUUUCUGUGCCUUUCCACUUUGUCUCCUUUCUCCAGAUUUUGUCGAUGCUAAAAAGAAGUCAGCUGUUCUCUCUACACUGUUUCAAUUUUCAGAACAAGUUAGCAACCCAACGAUAUGCUUUGAGGCUCUUCUGGUAAUUGGUUUAUGAUAAUCAGGUUUUGCAGCGGUGCUGAUUCUUUUCUGGGCAAGCAUGUAGCAUGCCAUCAACUGUCAUGAGAUGCUUGUGGUUUUUCUAUUAGUGUCUUUUCGACUAUGCACUUUCUUUUCUUAAAGGAGUUUGGCUAUUUUGACGCAUUUGGUGAUUAUAUCUAAGGCUUAUAUUGUUU
rnacentral:lncRNA from 1 species